GCACAUGCGCAGAAUCAUCGUUGUGCGCGGCUCUCCCUUUGCUUCUACGGUCGCAAUCCUCUUGCUUCUUUUAUUGCGCGUGCGUGUAGCGCUUUUGCAAAGACUCGGAGGUGAAGUGAAGGUAGAGGCUGUGGGGCCGAGGGUCCACUUAUAGCUAUCAGCCCACAGGCAUUUAGUCUACGUUGGAGGUAAACAAAUACGGGUCCAGCUUAGGAGAAAAGAAAAACGUCUUACAGCCAGUGUCUAAACUCCAAACAACGGAAUGUAUCAAUGAGACCUUGCAUAUGGAUACACGUGCAUUUAAAACGGCCCCGCCGGCGUGUAAAGCUCUUGCCGUUUGCCAGCGCUUUACCGGGGUUAUCGCACUUAAGCCUCGGAACAACUUUACCAGAUGAGGACACCUGAGGCUCAGAUUAAGAAAUCUGCCCCAAAGUCUUAGAACUGUCCCCUUCUAGAUAUAAUCUGUUAAGAGAAUUCUAAAGUGAUGAUGAUAAAUGAUAACAUUUAUUGAAGACCUAAUAUGUGGCAGACACUGGGAUAAACAGGUACAUGCAUUUUCCCAUUGAAUCCUCAUGUAACUCAUGAAGUGGGUGCAAUUAUCUCUAUUUUGCAGAGACUGAAGUUUCUGUGGAAGUCAUUUUUAGAAGAUUUACGUCCAAUUGUGUUUAAAGUCUUACGAAAAAUUCUUUCAUGAAAGCUUCUUGAUUUGCUAAAAUGGGAGAAAACAAAACCAACUAACAUACAGUAGUUCCUGUGCCUGAACAGAGAGCCCAAUUGUAAAAAAUGGUCUUUUGAAAACUAAGAAAUUUAUGUUUGACCACAAGGGGGUGCAAAUUCCUGAGUUACAUUUCAAAGAAAAAACGGAAAAAGUGCUUUUACUUCAGACCAUUAAAUUCGUGGGUUAAAAACUAGUAAGAAUUCCUGCCUGGAACUUUAAUACCCUAAAAGUAAUGUACUUUAUAAGAAGAAAGAACUCAAUUACUUAGGUGCUCAAUUAGGGCAGAAGUGUCAGCUUGCUUUCUUCAAUACAGUCAAGAGUUAAUCAUCCCUCCCCUACCCCUUUCCACUCACAGUUAGUGUCUCUGCAUACCCCUCUUUACUUGUCAUAGGAGUAGAACUGAAGUCAUAAUUUAAAAUCUGGGGUUUUGCUCUUGGAAACUGAAAUGCAGUCACCAGCAAAUGGAUGGUAAAUAUGGGUAGUGUGAAGAACAGAGGUCUUGUAAUUUCUAUGCUUUUUUUCCCUCCUGCUGUUUAUAAUGAGUAAGCUACAAUUGAUGCAAUGUUGGCUUCAACAUAUUAACUUAUUUAGAUGAAACUGUGAAAGCUAUAGGUCUGUUCAUCUUUCAAGAAAGAACGCAGACUUUGAAACAGUAUAUACUAUUGAAUGUAUUAAAAAGUUUGCUUAGCAGGGUUUUCGGGUUCCUUUUAUUUUCCUGUUGGUCUUGUUUCUCUGAGAUGGACUUAAUUUAAAAAAUACAUCUUUUUUUUGGAAAUAAUUUCAAAUUUACAAAAAGUUACAAUAUUAAAAAGAGUUCCAAGAACAUCCAUAUCAUUUUCUUGCACUUGUACAUGGGUGAGUUUUCUUUCUCUCUCUCUCUCUCUCUCUAUACACAGUCUAUAAAAACACACAGAGGAAAAAUGCAAGAAAAAAACUUUCAAUCCAUAUCAAGGUUUUAUGAUUAUAGUUAAAAAUAUACACAUCAAAAAGCCAAUCUAAAAUUUUGCAUUGUUGACACUGCGAAACCAUUCUUUUAAGGAACAUUGGUGUUCUAUGAGCUAGUCCGAUUUUUUUUUUUUUAAGAGACAGGUUCUCUCUAUAUUGCCCAGGCUGACUUCGAACUCCUGGACUCACGUGAUCAUCCCGUUCUACCUUCCGAGUAGCUGGGGCUGUAGGCAAGUGCCACUGCACCCAGCUCAGUGAUUCUUAAACUUUGAAAAUUUGUUGAAAGUUAUAGACCCUUUCUCUAGAAUCAUGCAUAUAUGUGAAUAGUUUGCAUAUAGUUUCAGAGGUGGAUGAUGGUCCAUGGAGUUCCUGAAGAAAAGUAAAGAAAAAAUCAUUCAUACAUAUAGUAAGCAGAAUAAUGGUCUACCAAAGAUAUCCAAAGAUGUACAUGUCCUAAUCUAUGGGGGAUUUGUUAAUAUGUUACAUGGUGAGAGAUAAUUCAAGUUUCAGAUAAAAAUUAGGGUUGUUACUCAGAUGAUCUGAAAAUAGAUUAUUCUGGAUCACCUGAGGAGGCCUAAUUACAUGGUCUUUUAAGUGUGUAAAGGGGAAGCAGAAGAAUCCGUGUCAAUGAUGAGAUGUGAGAAAGCCAUUGCUGACUCUGAAGGUGGAAGGAGGCCAUGAGCCAAAGAAUAGUUCAUGAGCCCUAGAAGCUGAAAAAGGCAAGAAAACAGACUCUUAUGUAAGGCAGCCAUGCCUACAUCUCUAUUUUAGCCCGCUAAGACCCAUUUUGAAUUUCUGACCUCCAGAACUGUAAGAUAAUACAUUUCUGUUGUUUUAAGCCACUAAGUUUAUGGUAAUUUGUUUAUGGUAAUUUUAUGGCAUUAGGAAACUAAUAAAGGAUGUGAAAAGUCAUUUUGUAUGUAUGUUGAUGUGUGGUUAUGGUAGUCAUUAAGUGUGUAUGUAUACAUAUAUAUAUUUUUUAAUACCACCUAGGUAUUUUUUUUUUUUUUUUUUUUGAGGUG